rnacentral:rRNA from 1 species
GAGGAAAAGGAACCAACAGGGAUUGCCCCAGUAACGGCGAGUGAAGCGGCAACAGCUCAAAUUUGAAAUCUGGCCCCCGGGUCCGAGUUGUAAUUUGCAGAGGAUGCUUCGGGCGAGGUGCCUUCCGAGUUCCCUGGAACGGGACGCCACAGAGGGUGAGAGCCCCGUCUGGUCGGACACCGAGCCCGUGUGAAGCUCCUUCGAAGAGUCGAGUAGUUUGGGAAUGCUGCUCAAAACGGGAGGUAUAUGUCUUCUAAAGCUAAAUAUUGGCCAGAGACCGAUAGCGCACAAGUAGAGUGAUCGAAAGAUGAAAAGCACUUUGAAAAGAGGGUUAAAAAGUACGUGAAAUUGUUGAAAGGGAAGCGCCCAUGACCAGACUUGGGCCCGGUGAAUCACCCGGCGUUCUCGCCGGUGCACUUUGCCGGGCACAGGCCAGCAUCAGUUUGGCGCGGGGGAGAAAGGCUUCGGGAACGUGGCUCCCUCGGGAGUGUUAUAGCCCGCUGCGCAAUACCCUGCGCCGGACUGAGGUACGCGC